UACAGAGCCUGCAAGCGUUAUUCGGAUUCACUGGGCGUAAAGGGUGCGCAGGUGGCCAGGUGUGUCAGAUGUGAAAUCCCGGGGCUUAACUCCGGAACUGCGUCUGAAACUGCUUGGCUAGAGCAUUGGAGAGGGUAGUGGAAUUCACGGUGUAGCAGUGAAAUGCGUAGAUAUCGUGAGGAACACCAGAGGCGAAGGCGACUACCUGGACAAUAGCUGACACUCAGGCACGAAAGCGUGGGGAGCCAAAGGG
rnacentral:rRNA from 1 species